GGAAGAUCUAUGCACCCAUCAUCCAAAAAGAAAAGAAAAAGGGAAUUUUUGGAUCUGUUUUCAAAGAUGCCAAGGGAAAUAAGGCAAACAAUGUGCCUGACGCCGGAGUUGAAAAUGCAAGAGCAAGUAUUGAAGAGAUGUCUGCAAUAUUUUCAGCUGACAACUUUCCAUCACUCACCCACAGUGAAGAGAAGUUAGGCAGGAACGAAAAGGAUGCUGACUUGGAUAUAGAUGACAUUGAAAUUGAAGAUCCAGUAGAGAAACAGAAGGGAAAUCCAAUGGUUGCAGCACUAAACAAGCAGAACCUUACAAAUACAUUUCAGGCUCUGAAAGGAAAGUUUAUGCCCAUGAAGGUCAAAAACGAUAAAGCCCCGAUAAAUGAUGCACCACAAGAUGACAAGGCAGAUACUGUUGGUCAAAUUAAGAAAAGAUAUGGGUAUACUGCUUCAGCUGAACCCAGUGCUACAGAGGCAGCAAAGUCAAAGCUCAGUGAAAAUCUGAAGAAGUUGCAGGGCAUCAACAUUAGAAGUGCUGAGAUGCAGGACCAAGCCAAGUCAUUUUCUUCCAUGGCUAAAGAGGUGUUGCGAUUUUCUGGAAAUGACAAAGCAAAUUCGUGAUUGCUUCACUCCACACAAAGAUGUUUUGCUGGAAAUGUAUAGUAAAUUACAAUUCUGAGUAUUUUUC
rnacentral:misc_RNA from 1 species